GCGGCGUGCCUAAUACAUGCAAGUCGAACGCUUUGAUUUUCACCGGAGCUUGCUCCACCGAAAAUCAAAGAGUGGCGGACGGGUGAGUAACACGUGGGCAACCUGCCCAACAGAGGGGGAUAACACUUGGAAACAGGUGCUAAUACCGCAUAAUUUGUUUUCCCGCAUGGGAGAAUAAUAAAAGACGCUUCGGUGUCACUGUUGGAUGGGCCCGCGCUGCAUUAGUUAGUUGGUGGGGUAAUGGCCUACCAAGACCGUGAUGCAUAGCCGACCUGAGAGGGUGAUCGGCCACACUGGGACUGAGACACGGCCCAGACUCCUACGGGAGGCAGCAGUAGGGAAUCUUCGGCAAUGGACGAAAGUCUGACCGAGCAACGCCGC
rnacentral:ncRNA from 1 species